GGUCGCACUUCGCUCCUCUCCCUGCUCAGGCCGGAGAAAGGAAGGACACAGAGGGACAGUUAGAGCCGCCGAGUCCGCGGAGGGGGAACAAACAGUCCGGAGAGGGGGUCUGACGCGGGCCCCGCGUGCUCAUCACUCCCAGUGAAAUCCAGGAUGCUGAGUCAGACCCAUUCCACUAAUGGACCAGGCAAAGCUGCUGAUCGACUGCAUCAGCCACAGUCUGGAGGAAUAGGGAAGUGUGAUUUUGUCAGCGUUGCCUAUGUGGGUGGUCUCACACCAGGAACACUUGUUGUAGAAGACCACACUGAACAUUCCAGCUGCUGCUUACCAGUCACUGAUAUAUUAAGUUAAGCUAAUUAAGGCAAGACACAUUAGGAGGCAACAUACAGAACAUACAGUUUCUGCCGGUGAUACCUGAGCGGCUGGAGCCUUCAGGCGGCCGCAGCAUGAAGAGUUAACAGAGUGGAUCACCACAGUGGAUGUUUGUUCCGAUAGAAAAGCCGCGUUGUUUGUGGACGACCAACUAAUCAAUUCAGAGACAACCAUGGAGAAGGAAACUGCUUAAAGCCCCAGAGUGACAUGCCAGACGGUUGCUAAUGAUUACAACAGUGCAUAUGGCAGCGCUUGGCAACUGGCACCCCAAAACACGGAGCAGAGAAUAAGCCCUCGGGGCAGUCUCAGGCCUCUAAUUGGGCUCUCACCAGUGACAGGCUUGGCUAAAACGGAGCACUGGUCAGAUACAAACAGAAAGGAGAGAGAAUGUUUGUUAUUGUUAGAGACUGAGGAGAAUGAAAGGUGGCCUCCUUUUGGAAGUACCUCUAUGGGAUUCAUGCCAAACUGGAAAGAUCCAUCCGCUCCCAACAGAGACGCAUGGCUGACGUUCAGACUGACAAUGGUGCUCUUUGUUGAGACAUUCCCGUACGGUUGAUGAUAUUGUUUUGAGUUUUAUUGUCUGCUCUUUUUGUGUGCAAUAAACCCAGAAGAAGAUAAUGAAACCAAUGUGCCUUUUGCAGAAAAUGUAAGAAUAACUGAAAACAGAUAUUGGCAAACGUACCUUCAGUUCUUGGAUGCAUUUUGUUGUGAGACGAUUCCUUGAGACUCUUUCUUUGGGAUGAACAACAUACGAAGACGAUGAAGUCACGUCACAGUGUUUUUGUGAGGAGACACAAUAGAGUUUAAAGGCAGAUAGACUGGCAACACUUAGGAGCAGUUACAGUCAAAUCAGAAAUAUUUCACAUGUACCAUCACAACGUAUAAAUUAAAGCACGAAGGGCAGAUUUCUGGCUGUAUGUCAUCAUACUACAUUCUGUAGGUAAUUUAUCGGCGCUCCGACCCUGUUAGUCACUACAGUUCAAAGUUAAAGCUAGAAGCUGGAGCACAGCGAGACACAAAUGAUCUAUGCCUCCAUAAGAAGGCAUGGUGUCAUAAUCAUUAUAAUGAAAAACAAACAGGCCUGUGGGGACUGUGCUGUUUUCUCUGCGGGGUUGAGGCCUGCUGGUGGCCGUCCUUCACACGUGCAGAUCACUGAAAUCCAGCGUGUGAAGCCCCGGUGAGGGAGCAACAGAUGGCCCGACCCCGUACCUGUCAGGAGGCGUGAGGGGGAGCGGGGGGGGGCCACGGCGGAGCAACGGCGCACACUCAGACCUCCCACAUUUGUUUGGAGCGGUGAAGUCAUUAGCACAGAGUGUUUGUGAUGUUUUUGCGAAGUGACGCAGUC